rnacentral:sRNA from 1 species
AGGGUUUGGUUUUUACUGUUUAAGAUUGAUGACGAUGAGAAAGAGCCGAUGGAAUGAUGAUAACGAUUUUUCGGAUAUAUUAAUUUAUUCUGUCGACCAAAACUCAGACUACAAUUAUCUGACUAAUUGGCUCUUUCUC